rnacentral:rRNA from 1 species
GGAGCUUGCUCCCGGAUGUUAGCGGCGGACGGGUGAGUAACACGUGGGUAACCUGCCUGUAAGACUGGGAUAACUCCGGGAAACCGGAGCUAAUACCGGAUAGUUCCUUGAACCGCAUGGUUCAAGGAUGAAAGACGGUUUCGGCUGUCACUUACAGAUGGACCCGCGGCGCAUUAGCUAGUUGGUGAGGUAACGGCUCACCAAGGCGACGAUGCGUAGCCGACCUGAGAGGGUGAUCGGCCACACUGGGACUGAGACACGGCCCAGACUCCUACGGGAGGCAGCAGUAGGGAAUCUUCCGCAAUGGACGAAAGUCUGACGGAGCAACGCCGCGUGAGUGAUGAAGGUUUUCGGAUCGUAAAGCUCUGUUGUUAGGGAAGAACAAGUGCAAGAGUAACUGCUUGCACCUUGACGGUACCUAACCAGAAAGCCACGGCUAACUACGUGCCAGCAGCCGCGGUAAUACGUAGGUGGCAAGCGUUGUCCGGAAUUAUUGGGCGUAAAGGGCUCGCAGGCGGUUUCUUAAGUCUGAUGUGAAAGCCCCCGGCUCAACCGGGGAGGGUCAUUGGAAACUGGGAAACUUGAGUGCAGAAGAGGAGAGUGGAAUUCCACGUGUAGCGGUGAAAUGCGUAGAGAUGUGGAGGAACACCAGUGGCGAAGGCGACUCUCUGGUCUGUAACUGACGCUGAGGAGCGAAAGCGUGGGGAGCGAACAGGAUUAGAUACCCUGGUAGUCCACGCCGUAAACGAUGAGUGCUAAGUGUUAGGGGGUUUCCGCCCCUUAGUGCUGCAGCUAACGCAUUAAGCACUCCGCCUGGGGAGUACGGUCGCAAGACUGAAACUCAAAGGAAUUGACGGGGGCCCGCACAAGCGGUGGAGCAUGUGGUUUAAUUUCGAAGCAACGCGAAGAACCUUACCAGGUCUUGACAUCCUC